AUUGAACGCUGGCGGAAUGCUUUACACAUGCAAGUCGGGCGGCAGCGCGGGGGCAACCCUGGCGGCGAGCGGCGAACGGGUGAGUAACACAUCGGAACGUACCCUAUCGUGGGGGAUAGCUCGGCGAAAGCCGGAUUAAUACCGCAUACGACCUGAGGGUGAAAGCGGGGGAUUGGUAACGACCUCGCGCGACUGGAGCGGCCGAUGGCGGAUUAGCUAGUUGGUGGGGUAAAGGCCUACCAAGGCGACGAUCCGUAGCGGGUCUGAGAGGACGGCCCGCCACACUGGGACUGAGACACGGCCCAGACUCCUACGGGAGGCAGCAGUGGGGAAUAUUGGACAAUGGGCGCAAGCCUGAUCCAGCCAUGCCGCGUGAGUGAUGAAGGCCUUAGGGUUGUAAAGCUCUUUUACCCGGGAAGAUAAUGACUGUACCGGGAGAAUAAGCCCCGGCUAACUACGUG
rnacentral:rRNA from 1 species